rnacentral:rRNA from 1 species
GUCUAUGACCAUGCCACCCUGAACAAGCCCAAUACCGUCUGAUCUCGGAAGCUAAGCAGGGUCGGGCCUGGUUAGUACUUGGAUGGGAGACCACCUAGGAAGACCAGGUGCUGUAGGCA